AAUAGAACUAUUUGAAUCGCUAGCUCU
rnacentral:sRNA from 1 species